GCCCCCGUAGCUCAGCAGGAUAGAGCGGCGGUUUCCUAAACCGCAGGUCGCAGGUUCGAAUCCUGCCGGGGGUAC
rnacentral:tRNA from 1 species